rnacentral:tRNA from 1 species
UGGGUUAUAGCUCAGUGGUAGAGCAUGGUGCUUAUUAGCAUGCACGAGGUCCUGGGUUCAAUCCUCAGUACCUCUA